CAGGUAUUAAGGCCGCCGUCCUAUUUUCUCCUCCCACCCUGUGAACAUACCUAAAACGUUGCUUCGGCGGGAACAGACGGCCCUGUAACAACGGGCCGCCCCCGCCAGAGGACCCCUAACUCUGUUUUUAUAAUGUUUUUCUGAGUAAACAAGCAAAUAAAUUAAAACUUUCAACAACGGAUCUCUUGGCUCUGGCAUCGAUGAAGAACGCAGCGAAAUGCGAUAAGUAAUGUGAAUUGCAGAAUUCAGUGAAUCAUCGAAUCUUUGAACGCACAUUGCGCCCGCCAGUAUUCUGGCGGGCAUGCCUGUUCGAGCGUCAUUACAACCCUCAGGCCCCCGGGCCUGGCGUUGGGGAUCGGCGGAAGCCCCCUGUGGGCACACGCCGUCCCUCAAAUACAGUGAACGGUCCCGCCGCAGCUUCCAUUGCGUAGUAGCUAACACCUCGCAAACUGGAGAGCGGCGCGGCCAUGCCGUAAAACACCCAACUUCUGAAUGUGACCUCGAAUAGUGAUUCAGCUUUUUUUCUAACUAAACUUCUUCUAAACAUCCCUUUAACGUG
rnacentral:rRNA from 1 species